AAACCCUGAGAACUGAUAUUAUUUAUUUUAUUAUGAUACUCCUGGACAUCUGAAUACAUAGUUCAUUCCAAAACAGCCCAUCUACCGUGGACUGGACACUGAGAGUGUAAAGAGCGAUGGUGAUGAUUCUGGAGAUUGUGUUAGGGUGUCGUCAAGUUUCACAAGCUCAUCAUACACCCCACCAGCCACCACCUUGCUCUGGACCUGACAAGAGAAGAAGGAUAACAAGAUCUGAUGCUGGAAGCCUGGAAGUGAUAUAUCUAAAGAACCAUACUCAGAAUUUGUGACCUCACCAAGAUAUUCAUCUUCAUCAUGUUGCAGUGAUAAUGACAGUAGCAAGCCACUGGUGGAGCCUAGCACAUACAAGGAUGUGUUGAUCUUGUUCUGAUUCAACGAUCAUGAUCUGCCGUUCAGACUAAAGGAAGUUAUACUGUCUGAUCGUUCUUGAUCCCUUCCUUCGCGUUCACGACCGUCGGGAUGACUCCAUUGACGAGACGUUCGCAUUGACCACCGCCCCUGCACGAUGUUUAGUCUCUAGGCUGUAGUGUGUUAAACGGACGAGAAAUCUGAGCAUCUCCACUUGUCCAGGUUUCUCCACUGCAUAUUCUGCACGCCCCUGCACCUAAUGCCUUCCAUAGCUAUGCUAACCCACAGCAGCAAUCAGCAAGGUUAGCCCCCCUUUGUCAGUGUUUUUGUUUGUAUAUUGUCCUUCUGUUCUGAUGUGGAUGGGUGGAAGCAUGUAUUUCUGAUGCAUGUAUACGUUUUAAGAAGGGAUGUUGAUAGAAGACUCCUAUUAUGCAUGUACCUAUUUUCUUAAAAGCUUCCAAUGUCUGUCAUGUCAAUUAUGUGGGCUGACCAAGAUGAUUGUCUUUUAUAGCUUAUAUAUAUACUAUGCAUUUUUUCUUUCAUUUUUUUGCUUGUGUGUUCAUUGGAUUAUUUUAUGAGCUGAUAUUCACUUAAAUAAUAAGGAAUUCCAUGCAAAAUUCCACGGAGCAUAAUCUUGAUUGCCCAUUGAGGAAGAAAUUUAAGCUAACGGCACUACUAAUGGGUGGCACUGCUGGAAGAAAUUUAAGCAUAUAAUUUUGUACAUGACCAAUGAUGAUUUUGUUGUAGCGUCUUCGGUGCAUAUAACCCUUGAGCUAGGCAAUCAGAUGGAUGUCCUGGAUUUAUGAUAGUUUUUGUCAGCAUUUAUUUUUAUUGGCAAUAACAGUUGUAAUAUACACUCUGCUUUAAGGAAAACAUUUUGGUGUUAAGAUUGCACUUUUGAAUGUUGGUUAAAUGGCAUUGAUAUUUGUGUGUGAUAUAUUCCAUUUUAGUAGUCAUUAGGGUGAGUAUCUGCAGUACAUAAUCAAGUCUUAGAAAUUCCAUAAUACCUUAUCAACGCCAUUAGCAUCUUUACACAAGCCUUUGGUUAGCGACCUCAUCUGUGAAUCAUCCGUUGAUUUAACUAUUUCUUGAUUUAAUUUUUCUCAGCCUUGAGUUGUCGAUUGAUCAUAUCAUGAUAUUGACUGUAUCCAUUGAUUACUUUUUUCCAUCUUUAGUUAUCACCUAUUUACAUCAUGAUAUUAAGGACCUGAAUUUUUGGGACAUGCGGCCACGCGAUGCCGUAAUCUGAGACGUCCCGCUGCGCAUCAAGAUGGCUACUUAAUAUAGGCCCAUUUGUAAUACCUGACGCGUUAAUCACGGACCUACUUGAAUACGUCGCGUUAUACAUCAGAAGAGUGGGCCAGACGCUAUUAAUGCUCGUAUGAAUGCAUGCUCAUCUGGUAGCAGCCCUCAUCACAGGGGAUGGCAUAACGGAUCUUGAUGGUGGGCAGACAUCAUUAAGAAUGCCCCUCGCUCCAACCCUUGCCCUGUGGAAAAGCAGAUGGAGAAGAGGAGAUGGCUUUUGCAGAAACGGAGUUUAACAGGUUAGCCGGUUAAAACUACGAAACUGCUGUGUGGACGACAAUAGCCGAACGAACUGCGCACGAUGGAGUAUUUAACGGUGUAGGUUCACUUUGAAUCGACGCAUGGACGGGUUGAUGUGCUUCAUCGUGCGGAGAUCGUCCACAACCGUCGUGUGUGUAGCAGCACUCUUAAAACUAUACUUGAUCUGUGGUUUUCGGUUUCUUUUGGGUACGAUUCAACGAGCCCACCUAUAAUCAUCUCUCUGUUGCCUCAACCCCUAGCAUGUCUUUUUGGGCAACUUAUGGAUCUGGGUGCUUAAGUGGAACGUGGGAGAUGCCUGUUUACAUCUCAUGUGUUAGAAUUUUCCAGCCCGGUCUCACAUGUCUUUCUUUUGCUCGAUUAGUGCAGGAAAAGCAAAGCAGAUGCCUGACGAGCGAACAACAAGUGCUGAAAGAUCAACCACCCUGGAAACGGCCCUAACCUGAGUUUCAAAAAUAAUGAUGGCACUCAUUUAAAAUACACCCCACUCCUUUGAAAAAACAGAUUCCGCUCAUUUCACUUAAUUCGAACAAAUAAUUACAAUUAUUUUCAAAGGAAAAAAAAUCAUUCGUUUAGAACAACAUAUUUCACUCUUUAAAAAAAAAGACUCCACUCGUUCACUUGAUUCAAACAAAUGUUUUCAAUAAUUUAUUUAGAAGGAUGUACUUCAUUCCUUUAUUUCGCUCCUUUAAGAAAAAUAGAUUCCACUCUGAUAUUCACUUCGGGGUCAGGCCCAUCUGCACCCAGUGAACAGUAAAAAUAAAAUAAAAAUAAAAAAAUAAAAAAAUCUGAUUUUUUAUCUAAGAUGCUUUGAGUGCGCCAGAUGAAUGCAACCUUUCAUGGCUAAACUAUAUUCCAGGAGCUCAUGGCAAAAAAGACAAAGUGAGCUUCAAACAGUGUUGUUUUCAAAUAUUUCUCAUUGAUCCGAAAUUUGUCUCUUUUGCCGAGAGCUACUAAAACGUCCUAACUACACGAAAUUUAGCACGGACUUCACGCAUACAAGCAUCUGGUAUCACAAGAAAAAAAAAAUCAUUUUUUUACUAUUUUUAAUUAUUUUACUAUUCACCCACGGUUGCAGAUGCACCCGAGAGCCAAAACGCCGCUCCCAUUCCACUCAUUUCACAUGAUUCAAACAAAUAUUUUCAAUCAUUAAAAAACAAUUACACUCGUUUAAAAUAGCAUACUCCAUACAUCACUCAUUUCAAAAUACAGAUUCCACUCAUUUCACUCAAUUCAAAUGAAUAAUUUCAAUGAUUUUUGAAAAGAAUGAUUUUAUUCGUUUAGAACAACAUAGUUCACUUGUUUAUUCCACCCUCCUUUACAAAAAUAGAUUCCACUUGUUUGACUCAAUUCAAACUAAUAAUUUCAAUUAUUUUCAACAAAAAUGAUUUCACUCGUUUCACAAAAUAGAUUACACUCGUUUCAGUCAAUUGAAAAUGAAUAAUUUCAAUCAUUUUCAAAAUACAGUGAUUUCACUCAUCUAAAACAAGAUAUUGCACUAUUUUAUUUCACUCGUUUCAAAAGGCAGAUUGAAAAUAUUCGCUAUGUACCGGUACCUGUGCACUCAUUAAAAAAUCCACUCUUCUAAAAAAAUAAUUUUACUAAAAUAAACUUCAACUACUCAAGAAAACAUGUUUCGCUCAUUUCAAAAGAAUAAGGUCGCUACAAUCAAAAUCAGAUUUCACUUGUAAGUGUUGUUCUAAGCAGUUACACUGAAAUAGGUUGAGCGAAAUAAGUGAAUUUAAACAUGUUUGAAAUGUAUCCUAGAUUAGUCUUGUUCUAAGCUACCCAAAAAUGUGUGUUAGGUUGUUCUAAAGAUCACCGUCAUAAUCGUUGGCAUAUGGUUUUUGGAAGAAAAAAAGUGGCUUAAGCAAUCGAACUGGCCAAUAGGAGGAUGGUUUCCAUUGAUCAUCGGUAAUGUUGGCUAACACUUGCAGUACAUUGUAUUGAGAGACGAUAAAUGUUUAUGUCAGAAUAUUUAGACAAGCUUGUUUAAUGAGAAGUUACUCUAGUCUCUAGCCAGUCCAACUAACCCAAGGGGUUUCCGCUGGGUGAUGUCAAACAUAAACGGCCCUGAACUGUUUCCAUUAAAACUUCAUGGGUGACUUAAUGAGCUGCAGCUGAGGGGGUCCUGGUAUUGCAGGCCCGACUUAAUUGACGUAUGCUCAAAUGCACUGCUCGUUUGAAUGCCCGACCCUGCCUUGUGGGCCAUCUCUUGGCGAGGGCGUAGGUAAUAUGAAUGCAUAAUGCCUUGUAUACAACACAUCAAUCUCAGUAUACAUGCUACUCGUAUUUGGACUACACGAAUCACGUGGGAAUGAGCGGGCCUGAUACCGACCGCGCGUGGCACCAUGUCCACUUGUGAUUAUUCGAUGAUAUUAAGAACAAUUUUAGGAUUGCAUGUCCAUGGACUCGACACAAUUCAAUGAUGCUUUUCAAUUAUAACUAGAUUUAAUCUAUUCUUUUUACAACCUAUGAAAAUAUUGAACGAAUGAAAUAAUGUAUAUAUUGUUUGCAUGACCACAAUACUCCAACUUUUCAAAAUACAACUUGGGCAACAUCACAACACUGUGUAUCCAUUUAAUUUAUAUAUUUUGAAACAUUUUUAUGCAUUUAAUUUAUAAUUUUCAAACAUUUAGUAUUUUGAACCAUUUGUAUGUAUAUUGGUUUGAAUUUCGAUUGAACAAUGUUUGAGACGUGUAUUGCACGUGCAAGCUUACUAGUACUAUUAAAUCUUGAGGAAAGAAAAAGGUCGCACCCAGCACGUCACUGUCAAGCACCCGUUCGCGGCGGAAUCUAGAUCCGCCGGAAGUACCAUCCCAUAUUCCCAUAUGCAUAUGCCCUACACUGCAGGACGCCGGACAUGUCAACUCCCACGUUCCUUCCAUCUUCGAAUCGAAGGCAAAGAACAGCGAAAGUGCUAUUCUGUGCCCGAGCACAAGCACUCUCGAUAUCUUUCCCGUCGGUGCUCCUCGAGAUCACCAAUCACAUGCGUAUAGGCCCAAGUAUUGACAUCGUAUUUAUGUUUUCCAACAGGGCCCAUGGCCCACAUAUGACCAGCAGGCAGCAUGCCGGCGUCAGCCACGUUACCAGCGGCUCGGAUGUGGCUCAACGAUAUGGGCCAUGAAAGGACAGAUUCUGGACUAACAGGACGAGGAAUUUAUUGCCUCCCACCGCUGCAUGACUUAGUCUAAAAAGAAACAAUCUUCCCUUGCACGCCUCGUGUCCUCCCCUACCAGCUAAAUCAAUCUUCGCACAAUAUCAGCUAAUCCUCUGCACCAGCACUGUCGCACCAAAGUCUAAAUAUGAAAGUAUCUCAAACAAACCCACGUUCUUAAAAAAAGGGGAAAAGGAAGCCAUGUUAAAUAUGAAAAUGCAACCUUAGAAAACCACCUAAAAUAUUUUAGUUUUUGAGCAAGUAACGUUUCACUUUUAAGGCGAUAAGCGACAUUGAUGGCACAAGCACACAUGCAAUACAUGGGCAACGAAAUAAAUAUACGAGUAAUGUUUAUUGACCAAAGGUUAUUUGCUUUUCGUGCAAUUUUUUUUUGUUAAAGUGGGAAUAUGCAUACGUUACAUAGGUCUCUUUGGAUCACAUCAUUUUGAAACACAUGAAAAUAAGUAAAAACACAGGAUUGUGAUGUCAAGACAUUUCCAAUCGUAUUGGGAAACAAAAUCUCAGGAAUUGAGAUAAACAGCCUUUGGCUGCACCACAGGAAAGGUACAAGAAUUCUAGAAUUUGAGUUUAGGGUUUCCAAACUUCUAGUAGUGCCUAGCAUAUUCAAGUUCAUCAAAUUUCUUAUGAUGCACAUAUAUAAGUGCGCCGUCGCUCACACAAAUUACACUGAUGGACCAUCUGCAUGUUAGAGGCGGGUUCUGAGAUUGCAAAAGAGUUUGAUGGCAGCUGCCAAACAUACUAGUGCCAAGCUCCGAAGGUUUAUUGAACAUGUCAUCUAACACAUGGAUCCAGUUCUUGUUUCCUGACUCCAUGGAUGAAUAUAAUUUCAGGUUUAGAUUUCUGAAACAUCAGUAAACAAAUCAGUAAAUAGGUGGAAGAGCAAGAAUACAACAAAUUACAGAAAAACAAUGGGUGGCCCUAUAAAUACCAUCGCCUACUAGCCUAAAGAAGCUUCGCUUCAUCCACAAACACAUGAAGCCAUGAACACAUCCAUACCCAGUGGCGGAGCUACAUGCAAUGCUGAGGGGGCCAUUGCCCCCCCCCCCAGCUGUAGCAUAUUUUCUCAAGGAAAAAAAUUAAGAGCCUUAAAAUAAAAAGAUUGUUNNNNNNNNNNNNNNNNNNNNNNNNNNNNNNNNNNNNNNNNNNNNNNNNNNNNNNNNNNNNNNNNNNNNNNNNNNNNNNNNNNNNNNNNNNNNNNNNNNNNNNNNNNNNNNNNNNNNNNNNNNNNNNNNNNNNNNNNNNNNNNNNNNNNNNNNNNNNNNNNNNNNNNNNNNNNNNNNNNNNNCCGCUAGCUCCGACACUGUCCAUACCCAACAUAAAGGGAUAAACCAGAAACAGGGUUGCAAUGGUUAUAAAGUCACCAAAUCCAGAUUUGGUUUGAAGUCCAAGAUCCAUAUAUGAACAAAAAUCUAAAGCUUCAAAUAAGCUAGAACAACAUGUGACGAUGUGACGUAUGGGACGUUCGAUUCAACCAAAUAAUCUGCUAAAAAAUCAAAAGAUUCAAAUAUUAACUUUGUAAGCAAAGCAGCCAAAAUCUGUAAAAAUAUGAUACAGUUUUGCAUCAGGCCCUCUGCUUCAAACAAACAUAAAAAAUCAUGCUUAGUGUGACAGAAAACAAUCUGGGAAGAAGAGAAAAGGCAUGCUACUCAUGAUUCAUUUCAUAACAAAAUUGAUAAGGUGAUGGAAAUGGCUAAGACAGAUUGAACGACGAGUUCGCUUCAAACAGACAGCAAAAAACUGCAGGUUCUGCAAAUCAUGUUUACAAAAAAUGUACUCCUAAGCAUCCAAUUUUUUAAAAUGCCUCUGCAAAUAUUCCCUCAAGGAACCAGUAUCUUGUGAGCCCACACUUCUACUCACCAAACUAUUUAGCUGCUAAACCAGAAAAAAAAUGUUUUGACUAGCACCUUGUUCUGUUCUAUUAAACUUAAAACAUCUGCCAAAUCUGCAGACCUGCAUUUGUGGUACAUCAGUACUUCCUCUGUAAAUAUAAGAUCUUUUAGAUCACUAGAGUGAUCUAAAAGAUCUUUUGAGAUCACUACUAAAAGAUUUUUUUAGAUCACUACUAGUGAUCAUUUCUUAAAUGCAAAGUUCCUACUCACCACCCUAUUAAGCUGCUAAUCAGAAUUUACAACAUAAUUGACAACCAAGUAGUUUUCAUCAAUAAUGCACUGUGGAAGAACAAUCUUAAUUACUUCCUUGCGACUACCAGACUCUAUCCAAAUUAUCUGAACAGGGACCAAAUUUCUACAAAUGUACUAUAUACCAAUUAUCACCUACGAUUUUUACAUCUCUAUUAAUGUUAGUAUGUUGCGCACUAACCUCUUAGCCCACGAUGGACCUUGAGGGUUGACCUUACCUAUACACAGCCACGACACCUGCAGCGAGUUGCCCCUUCUGCGCGUGCAAAACAGAAAAAGAUCACGAUAUACUUACGAAUCGACAUACCUCCUGAUUGAUUAGUUGCAUUAGGAACUUCAUUGCUGGCGGCCGCCUCUGCUUCCUAUCCCUCUUUCUCACUCCUCCGCUUCCAAAUGCCGUCCACGGUGGGGCCUUUGGGGGAGAAGAGCCAGAUUUCCAUUUCAUAUUAAGCUACCAAACAACUACAUCAAUUCUAUCUCUUGAAACUCUCAUGCUUACCACUCAUUGACUCAUCCUGGGCCACGGCUCGACUAGUUUGUCGUACACGACCGCUUCUCCUCCGUCUACUUCCAGGACCACAAGCCCAGACGUAUUUCUUCGUUUGCUAUUUUGCUUCGUUACAAACGCUCGCGUAUGUGGCACAUACAUUAAGGACGUGUUUGGUUUCUUGUGUGGCACCUGCCUCGCACCCGCCAUGCAAAAUCUAGUGCGUUUGGUGGCAUGUGUGGCCUCCUCAGCCUGGCCCAAUCGAUGCAAAAGGAGGCCUCUCAGCCAGGCUGAGGGGCACGCAGGAAUCGGCCGUAUCUCCGAGCCAGGCUCGCACCUGCAACCGCAACUCUCAUCCCGUGUCUCCCUUUCCUCCUCUCUCACACAUCAGAUUGAAUCGAGUAACCCAUUGCCGCCGCCGCCGCCUGAGCUCCCUCGUCCACAGCAGUCCGGGCUCUCUAGUAGGCACUCCUCCAUGUCCACGCCGAGGGACACGUCGCCCGACGCCGACCGAGCUCCGUUGCUGGUGCUCCUCCAUGCCCACGUCGUCCCCCACCAGUCCGGGCUCCCUAGCCAGCGCUCCUCCACGCCCACGCCGGGGGACACGCCGCCCAUCGCCGGUCGAGUUCCCUCGCUGGUGCUCCUCCAUGCUCACGCCGGGGGACAUGCCGUCCACCACAGAUCCAGAGGAAGAAGGGGAGAGGGGAGCACCUGCGCGCUGCGAGGCGCAACCGGCGCCGCGUUUCUCCCCCUCUCUCCCCUUGAGUUUAGUUCAGAUUUCAGUUCAGCCUUCUUUUACAUGUUCCAUGGAAUGAUCCAGAUCCAAUUGACAUUGUUGAAAUUGGAAGAGAAAGGUUCACAAAAUUAAGCUCAAAUGCAGUCUACCAAACAACAUCUAUUGUAUAUAGCAUCUCUCAUGCAACAAUAUUAUACAGUGCACCAAACAUACAUCUCAACCAAUUUCUGCAUCAGCUCAACCAGACCACGCUCACCCAGAAUCCCUCAUGCGAUGCAGGCUAAAGCCACCCAGGUAACCAAACACGCCUUAAAUGCAUCGCAUCCAGAGACGCAAAACAGCGGCCCAGAUAACGAGCACAUGUGUGCUCGUGACCAGAAGCACCGCGUCCAAAGAACAGCAACAGAUCAUCACGGAAUAAAGCACUCCUCUACUACCACCACCACCAGUACUAAAGUCGAUAGAAAAUUCAGAGCUCCCCCGUGGUUCGCCUACACGUCAAACUCCAAGUCGGCGCCUCCCUCCCUCACCUUCCGCGUCCCCCUUUCUCCCCUUCCUACGGCUUCUCCUCCCCCUCUUCAGUCUUCACCCCUGCCCACCCUCGCAGAUCUCGCCAUUCCCUGCCACGCCGCCGGCCGCCCGCCCGCGCGCCCCGUUCCGGCGGAAGGUUUCCGCCUCUCCCACAGCCUCCCCGGAGAGCCGGAGGGGCCUGCGCCUAUCCGACGGACGGCACGGCUCCUCUCUCCCCUGCCGCCCCCACCGGCCGCGAUACGGGCUGUCGAUCCUCGGUGAGCGCCUCUGCUCGAUCCGGUCAGCUUCGGCUCUCGUGGACCAUGGACCCCGUCGCCUGCCAGACUGCUGUCGCGCUGAUGCAGCGGCGAGGCCGAUUCUGAUUCUGCUGCCGUGCGCAGGGUUCGUUCGAAGACGCAGGCGCCUGUGCGACCGAGUGCGCGCGCGGAGGGUCAGGGUCGGCGCCGAGAUGAAGGGCGUGUCGGCCAUCCCCGCCGUGGCGAUCAUCCCUUCGCCGCUCUUCCUCUGGCGGGUCAAGGUAGCCUUCGCAGCAUUUCCACGGGCGCUACAUGCUUAAUGUACUUUCUGAUGUGUAGUAAGUGUGCUCCGUGCGGCCGCCGUUAUGCGCAUUGUCUGCAGCGGAUGCCAUGUUUGUAAGGAAAUUAAGUGAUAAGCCAACGAAUCUGAUGCCCCCCUCAUUGCAUAAACUUUGUAAUAGCGACAAAAAAUCAUGCCAUGUCUAAAUCUCUGCUACUCUAGGAUACGUCUUUGUUUUCCACGAUACUUGGAACAGUAGAACACCUGAACACUACUAUGGUGUUAGCGUCUCGAUAUUUUCGCAGUACAUGCCUAGGAGAAGCCUUCUAGCUUAGUCACAAAAGAUGAAGCGGCCUUUUAGCAUCGCCAUUUUCAGUUGGAGCUGCUGCUUUUUUUACUGAUUUACCCUGUAAUUUCCUCCAAGAGACACUAACAUAUUUACCUGUCCAUAUCUAAUUCUAUUCUGUGGCAUCAUGUAUUUUAUUGGUUCUUUUUUUGCUGUAACCACUAACCAAUUGUACUCAAAUUACCCUGUUCUCUUGAUUUCUCAUCUGCCAGAUCUACAUUUUACUUCUCAAAUUGCUUAUGAGUGUGUCCCUUUUCCAGGUUAUAUUGUUUCUCCUAUGGGGCUUGUGCUGUUGCAAGGUCAGUGUUGCUCUAUUAAUCACUUUUGUACUGUAUGAAUUGAGCUUCAUGUAAUUGUUAAUUGAUUAUGCUCUUGGAACUGCAGAUAGGGUGGGACUCAGUUAUGAGAAUGAGUGUUGAUCUGCGAGACUUAUUUCUAUACGAGGCUUUCUUAUACUAUAAUCCUCUUCUUCUGGUGGUGAGUUUCUUUUUGUUGUUGCACUUGUGGCAUACUCAACUCUUAGUAACCGCCUAUGCAGAAAAUUUACUCAUGCAUGUAAUUGUGCUUUGUGUUCCUAUUGUAGGCACUGAUGAUUUGGUUAUGGGGAGUAAAUUUGUGGGUUUUCGCACAAUCAUCAGUAAAUUAUGCGAAGGUGUUUGAUCUUUCGCAGACACAUUUAUCACACCGAGAAAUAUGGAGGGUAUGCCUAUUUAUCUUGUUUGCGAUAUCCAUUUGAUCUCUUGUUUGAAUACAUUUACACUGACAUGCCUAUCCAUAGCCUAUAAGCUUUAUGGAGUAUUGCAAUGCAAUGUCUGCGGCAUAUGGUUGUUACGGUAGCCUGAAUUUUACCGAUGGUGGCAAAGCUCUCAACAAUUCUUUUAGUUCCCAGUCCAUUAUAUUUUUCUAGUACAACUGUACAUAACAUUUCUAAAGCAACCAUGUUUAUCUUGCUUUUAUAUGCAAGUAAUAUAUAUGAUCCGUACUUUAGUGUCUGGAGAACAUGUGUUGCCAGGGGAAUUAUUUCUGCAGUCGAGUACUGACGGGCUGGUGUUUUGAACUUGGCUCUCUUUUCUUUAAACUGUAUCUUGUUGUUGUCCUGUCCAUUUCUUUUAUGCUGACAUAAUAUUGUAUAAUUGUUCAUAUUACAUGUACUCUGGCAUAUCAUUCUGCUUAAGUACACUUAUUUUCCUCCAUUGGCAGUGUGCUACUUGGCUGACUUUAGUUGUUCCAACAAGUAUGACAGCUUACCUAUAUCUGUAUUCACAUGGUGAAGUGUCUCUUGCUGCAUCUCAACCAGUGUAAUAUCUUGAGCUCAUUAAGUUGUUAAUUCUAUGAUUUGCUCAUGGGACCUUUUGUUGUGUACAUUACGCUUGGUUAUACUUGUGGUGGUGCUUAUCAGUUAUCAGUAAUCAAAUUUGGACAUAAAUAUCCCCAGAGCUCUCCCAAGGAACAGUAUAAUGAUAAGAUAAUUGUUGACAUACUAAAACGAAUGUCUCAUUGUGUAUCUCUGGCUCUGUUGUGUUAAUUGAUGAAUUGAAACUUACAUCCUGUCGCAAGAUCAGAACAGUAGUAUAUUCAUUAUACAUUUUGCUAGCAAUGAAUGUUAAUGCAAGUGCCACUUUUACCUUAAAGUUAUGCCUAUUCUCCUGUAAUCGAACAAGUGGAAAUGCCCAUCUUAGUACAAUACUAUUAUAUGUUAAGCAUCAAUUGAUGUACAUGCAGACAUAGUUACGAAUGGUUUCUUUGUAACACUGAAGUGAUCUGAAGUUCUGUAUGAUGCACAAUCCACUUACUCCUGCUUCCCCUUAUAGAAACAAUAAAUCAUGCAAUUUAUUCUACUCUGAUUCAUUAUUACUUUUUAAAUGCUGGGUUAUGAAUUGACAUAUCAUUCUGCCUGUCUGCAGGUUCUUUUGUAUGUUAUCCUUCUGAUGAUCCUCCUUUCUCCUUUUGAUAUGUUUUAUUUAUCAUCACGCUUUUUCUUUCUGAGGACCAUGUGGCGUAUAGCACUUCCAUUACAAGUAAGUUGUAAAAAAUUUCAGUAAUGUUAGAUAGGUUUUGCUUUUAGCUAUGCUAUAGACAAAACAAAAUAUUUUGGUAUGUGGUGGCUAUUAUAUAUACCUGAUUGUCCUUGCUUGCGGAGCCAGUAAAUCUGAUCAAAUAACAUUUUGAAUUGAUUUAAUGUACUCUUGUUCCGCAGGCAAUUACAUUCCCUGACUUCUUUAUGGCGGAUAUUUUUACAUCCAUGUCAAAGGUAUGCUGUCAUUUUUUGUAAACAAUUGGAGACAGUUUGCAGUCAUUUAUUUAAAGUGUUUACUGUCCAUUGUUUUGUUUUAACUAAUUACUGCUAUAGAUAGUAUGACAUGGUUUUCUUGUUUAAUAUGUACUAUAUUAUUUUCUGUUCUCAUGUUAGCUGUAAUAUACUGUAGUUUCUGUAAGAAAAAUUAUCUCCUAACUACGUGAGCAUCUGCAAUAUACUAUUUCCUCGUUUUGUAGAGAACUGUUUCUAGCUUCUAGGCUGUCCUGAGUGGAGAUUUUCAGUUUGAUCUUUCUAAUAUGUUGCUCAAUUGCUGUAUUUGUUGCAGGUGUUUUCAGAUUUGGAACGUUCAGGUUGUCGCAUGGUCCAUCGUCAGGUUAAUCUCUUUGUUUCUCUUGUUCUAUGCACAUAUUGUCUUCUGCAGUAUCCAUACUGCUUGGUUUACUUGACGAUUGCAAAGUACUGCAAAAAGUAAUUGUUAUUAUGAAAUUUUACAGGUCGCGACAAUUGCUUGGUUUGAAGCAGAUUCAAUUUGUGGUAGCCACUCUGUAGCUAUUCCUCUAGUUCUGGUACUCCCUUAUUUGUGUCGUUUCUUCCAGUGUCUUCGACAGUACAAGGAUACAAGGGAGAAAACUUGUCUUCUGAACGGUAUUUACUCACCACCAUAUUUCAGCUCUAAUUUUUUAUUUCUUUUGAGAUGACAUACAUGUUUAAAAUGCUAGAAAUAGUACAAAUUGUAGCUUGUGAUCAUAUGUUUUUGUACCUAUUUCUGGACACUUACCAACAUUUUUGUACCAAAUCCAGCACUCAAGUACUCGACAGCAGUCCCCGUGAUCUUUUUAUCAGCUCUCAAGUAUCAUGUAUUUCCCGACGUAUGGAUUAGCUUUUACCGCCCCCUGUGGCUUAUUUCCAGUGUUGUGAAUUCAUUGUAUUCCUUCUACUGGGAUAUAAAGCGAGAUUGGGAUUUGAGGUGCCAUUCUCUACAAAAGUUUCCUUUCCACUCUGUCCUUGCGUAUCAAUUGUUGCUAAUGAGACUUCCUCUAUAAUUGCAGCAUUUUAACCAGGAUUUUCAUGUUCAAAAACCCAAAUGCAUGGAGCAAUCUUCUUUACGGGCGUAGCUGGGUAUACACUCUUUAACACUUACUCCCUCUGUUCCUAAAUAUAUGACAUUUUGGCAGUUCAAAUUGAGGGAGCACAUGAUUUUAGCUAGUACACCUUGUUAGUUUUGUGAACUAAUACUUUCCUGAUUGCUCUACAGGUAUUUUAUUGGGUGUUAGGUAGCAAUCUCAUUCUCCGAUGUACAUGGACAUACAAGCUAUCGGCGCAUCUGCGGCACAACUACCUGACAGUGUUUGCGAUAACAGCUUUGGAAAUGGUGAGGCGGUUCCAGUGGGUCUUUUUCCGCGUCGAGAAUGAGUGGAACAAGAUGACAGCCAAGCAAAAUUUUGAAAUGUCCUCUGAUAUGCUGCCUUCGGAAGCAGAUAGGCUACUGGAUUCUAACAGCCAUACAGUCUGACCCUACAUUCUAAACAGUCUUAUAGCGCGGUCCUUGCGAGGUUCUUUCUCGUAAUAUCUCUAGAGCUCAGAGGGCCAAUUAUACAGGAUAGGUUUACACACAAAAUGAAGUUGUUGGCACGUGUGCCCGUAUGUAACAGUCUUGAAUCCAGACAAUGAUAGUAAUACCAAAAACAAAUAAUGUUAUUUGGCACCUUUACAGAGACUAUCUGCCUAGCUGAUCUGCACAUCAACAAUCUGAGGUUGACGCUUUAUCCUUUUGGUUCUGUUCUCCUUGCAACUGUUCAAAUGCAGCUGCAAUCAUCUUGCGCAACAGUACAAUUAGCGCUUAUCCACAAGUGCAGUGCGUGGGAACUGUAUUUGUUUUCUUCAUCUCAGUGUUUGGUAGUAAUAAGUUGCAUUUGAACAGCACAUGCUCAAGAUUGAUUUGUAUCCAUUGGAACAACAGUCUAGAAACAACUUAGUUUAAUGGCUGUGGUUUUCCCAAUCAGUCUCUAUACCCACCCACAGGAUUUCUUAAGCAAGUUGCAACUUGGAUAAUGGAAUCCAAACCAAAAAUGGAGCCCUUGUCUGGGACAAAGAAGGGAGCUGAUUUUUAUUCUUGCCAUUACACCUGACAUUAUUACUCCCUAGGUAUAAAUAAUUUGAACAGAAACAGACUCGGUUACUCAUUUGCAUCCAUGCAAUAAUUAAGUGACUUACACACUGAAUUAGUACUCCUACUCUACCACAAAUACACAAACACAAGUAGUACAGUACAUUAUAAAGAAAAGCAUGGGACACAUGAAUGCUCGUGGAAUUCGCAGCCGCUCGUGGUCACCGUCGAACGUGCGUGCGCGAGGCAGCAGCGGUACACGAGGCAGAGCGUGCGCCACGGAGAGGGAGGAGAUCCAGAAGGUCCGGGGAGGUCCCGCGGCUACGGAGACGUGAACGCGUCCUCCGGCUCCGGCGCGGUGGGCUGCUGUUGCUGCAGGACGAGGAGGGAGCGCAGCGUGUCCCGGAGGCGGUUGGCGCGCCUCCGGUGGCGGAUGCGGCGGAGCACGGCGUCCUUCUCCAGCGGCCCCGCGCCGGGCCCGGGCCUGUGCAGGUACAGCCGGCUCGUCACCCGCACCGCCGCCGCCGCGUCCCCCUCGUCUUCUUGCGCCGCCGCCGGGGGCGGAGACGAAGGUGGGCUCUUGGACACCCUGGAGUCCAUGGCAAGAUCGAUCGGACUUCUUCUCGUCCUCUUCAGAGCUUUGUGUGCGGAGCUGAGUGAGUGAGUGAUGAAUGAAGGAGUGAGGGGAGUGUGAAAGGUGGCGAGGCAGGGGCCAUUUAUAGACGGUUUCGGGGAGCUCAAUUGUGAUUUUAGUACUCCGGGUUGCUGUUUACUACCUCCGUCCUCAUUUACAGGUCCUCUUUAUAGUUUGUGCUAAAUUUUGACUAAAGAUUUAACUAACAAAAUGUUAAUGCAUGUCAAGAAAAAUUAUUUCAUUGGAUUUAUAUUUGAACAUAGUUUUUAAAAAUAUAAUGUUUGAUGAUAUGCGUGAAUAUUUUGUUAGUUUAAUCUAUGAUCAAAAUUUGGCACGAAAUAUAAUGAGGACCAAUAAACCCGAACGGAGGUAGUAUUAUGGAAACAGGUAGCUGGAGGACAUGGUUUCACGUGUCAGCGCCGCCUGUUUGUUUUUGUUUUUGUUUUGUUUCUUUCCUCUCGCACGCACUGCUCACGCACAAAUGGUGAUGAGGGAUGAGUUGUGGAGCACAUUCAAACGACCGCUUUGCCCAAAUCAUUGCAAGUUAAUUAAUCUCAUGCACGAACAGAAUGCAACGAUUAGGUGUGUCGAUGACGACCCGAUUUUUUUUUAAAUAGUUUGUGUCAUAACUUUGCCGGUUUCGGUCUGAAAAUAUUAGCCCAGCCGCAGUUUCUAGAGAGAGGGAGAGAGGGAUGGUAAAAAAAAAAGAUUAGUAGCGCAAGUCCUCUGUAAUUGACUAGGAGUGACACUGAAAGGUUAGAAUCUGUUCUCCGUGAGACAACGACCAGUUGGGUAAGAACACAUUUCGGCUGCCACGCCAGGAAAACACCACCUUUGAUUCGGGCGACGUCACUUUACACUCACAGCUCGCCAUGCCAUUCCCAUGGCUGCCUGAUGAAGCUUGUACACUAGUCUUUGGUAAAUAAAAGACUUGCAGUAGUAUUAGUUUGGUCAAGCUAAUUAAUUUGGAGAUGCUUGUGAGCACUGAGCACGCAAGAACUAAGCUAAGCUAGAGCCACACAUAAAGAUUUCAGUUAAAGAGAUACUGGUAGUAGUAAAUUAAUUACUCCAGAAUCGAAUCAUGCAUGGUUGCAAUACAGUACUCCUAGUAGUAGCAUUUGUUGGGACCUGGACACGUAGCAAGGUAGCGCCGGAAAGCCACCGUCCAAACUUGGAUCUGCACGGUACUCAGAGCAUGGUUAAUAGUAUAGCCAACUGCUGGCUAUAAGCCAUUGCCAUGUCAUCUAUAGCCUAUCUUAUAGCCAAUAUGUACAAUAGUUGAUUAGAAGAGUGUACUACUUUUUUAUUAUAUGGCCCACCUUUCACUCUCAUAAAGUGCCUAGGAGCACGUGCUAGAGUUGGCUCUUCACCAAGAGCCCGCUUCCCUUCUCUCUCUUCUUCUCUUUCCUCCAAUUAAGCAAGAAUAUACUAGUUUAUUUCUUAUAGCCAGCUGACUCAGCUCUAUUGUAUUUGCUCUCAGAGUAGUAAUUAAGCAAGGUAAAUGCGUUUUGCCUCGGUUGGUCGGUGAGUGCAGUACGGCGCCUGCUGUCGCCGCAGUGAAACUCGCGGAAGACGACGCAGUAAAAUGGUGUCAGGUGCACGCAGCAGCACCAGCAGCAGCCUAUCCUAUCCCUUCUGACCGUGAGGCUCUGACUCUGAGUGUGCUACACAUGAUUCCCGCAAAAAAAAAGUGUGCUAUACAUGAAUGAAUGAACGAAUGAAUGCAUGCCACGUGUCACAUGCAUGCUCCUGAUGCCUUUUUUGCCCGUGGUGGGUUAGCCACCGACCAGAGUGGCGGCCAAGAGUUUUCAACUCAAAAUUUAAACUUUUUUAGCUUUCAGCCAAAAUCACUAAUUGAAAAAUACUUCUUUCAAAGAUCACUCCCACCUUUUCAUGUUGCGACAAAUGACGCAUUGCAUGCGCGCAACUUGUCGUAACUGUGAGUUUUUUCUUUUUUAAUCUAUUUAUUCAAAACGUUUUAUCUCUAAAACCCUGAGUCCAAAUCUUGAACCGUUUUCAUCAUUGAAUUUUCUCGCGUUGAAAUCUUCAAAACUAGAUUCAAUGUUGAUAGGUUUUGAUGAACCUUUUUUUCACGAAAAAACCGAACCAAGAGCACUUUCCUCCCUUUCCGGAAGCCAUUUCCGAGAGGCAUGGUUGUGCCUCUCGCGGAAGCAAAAGACAAAAAGAAAGAGAAAACGAGUUUCUUUUUUCCGUUUUCGAGAAUCACGGCCAUGCCUCUUCCGGAAACAAACCCAUGCCUCUCACGAAAUAAGAAAAAAAAAUAGAACGAGUUUUUUUCGUUUUCGAAAGCAUGGACGUGCCUCUCGCAAAAGCAAAACCGUGCCUCCCACGAAAAAAAGAAAAAGAGAAAACGUGUUUUUCUACGUUUCCGAGAGACAUGGUCGCAGAAGCAAAACCGUGCGUCUCACAAAAGAAAAAAAAACAUGUUUUUUCUCUUUUCCGAGAGGCACCGCCGUGUGUCUCGCGGAGGCAAAACCGUGUCUCUCACGAGAGAAAAAAAGAAAAAGAAGAAAAACACUUUUUUUUUGUUUUCGAGAGGCACGGUCGUACCUCUUGCGGAAGCAAAAAGGUGCCUUUUGCAGAAACAAAAUUGUGCUUCUUGAAAAAAAAGGAAAGCAGGUUUUUUGCACAAAAUUUUUUUUUUCAACUUUUUGUCAAAAAGCUAGAAAAGACCGUUGAAAAACCAAAAAAGUAAAAAAAACCCAUCUAAAAAACCAAAAAUGUGUUCGAACAAAUAAAAUAAAAAACAAGAUCCGGAGAAAGCGCCCAGAGCGCGACACGUGGCGGGCGCACUCUCAACCCACCUCAAGUGAUUGUUAGGAGGCUUUUAAAGGAGGGCUCGCCAACUAGUUGCUCUUAGUUUCAGCUCCUUUCAAACGGGCCGAGCCUUGGUGCUACACGGGCCUGGUAGUGUUGAAUUUACGGGCUUUUCACGUUUGUGGGGGAUGGUCAGAUACGAGUGAUGUUGCUCGGCCAGUGCUAUAGAGCACUAGCACAUCACACGGCCUGGCAGUGACGUUAGGAAUCACAGAAAUAUGCCCACUAAUGAUCAGUUUUCAGUUUGCGGUAUGCAAGAUUCGUGGAGGCACAGUUAAAAAAACCGAAAUAUGUAUGUGACAAUUGUGUGACAGAUUGCAAAACUAUCAUACGAUCUCAUCAAGCGAUCCCUUCGUCAAACCCAGCCACCCAGGCACCCACGAUCCCCACCUACAUAUCGCGUCGCUGCCCUGCGCAGAAUCUCGUGGUCGCCGGCCACGCCACCGCCCACGCCAGUCCGUGCCCCCAAGCUCGACACCCUUGCCAGCUCUCCAUGGGUCGAGGUCGUCCCUGUUGAUCCACUCUGCCGAGCGUUGCCACCGCCGUCAACGCGAGCAUAAAGUUUCUUUGUAGCUCGUCCUACAUGGAACCUCUUAUCUUCAGCCCUUCAACAUUGCUUUGAGAUCCGUACUCUUCAACUAACUUGCAACAAGCAGAUUUCUCUUUUUUGUUUCUCUAAAAUGAAAGAACAUAUGGACUUCAAACUUUCCAGAUCAAACAAACUUUACAACUUCAUUGUGUGAACAAACUUUCAGAUUUUUUGGACCAACAUAAAUAUACAAAAUGUGAUUUUUUUUAUUAAAAAAAUAAAUUUUAGCAUUUUAAAUGCAUGAAAAAAUCUGAAAGUUUUUUCCCACGUAGUAAUUAGAAUGUUUUGUUGUCCUGCAAAGUGUGAAGUUUAUACGUUUUUUCGUUUGAGAGAAACAAAAAUGACAAAUGUGCCUGCACGGAUCUUAAUGCCAAAAUGGAUGGCUAAAAUAAGGGGUACCGUGUAGCUCCAGCUACACAAAACCACACCAACGCGAGUCCCGCUACCACGCUCGCAUGCUUCCCCAUCUCAGCGAACUUCCUUCUCAGGCGGUCAUGAUGGGAAGGCGGAGGAGGGCCAUGGUGGGGCGGGCAGCGGUGCUCUUCCUUGAAGCAGGGCUAGAAGUGAGGUGGCGAGUGCGCGGCUCACGGCCGGGAAGGCGAGCGGCGGAAUCCGGUGCUCAGCCGUCGGCAGCCGGAGGGGCGGGCGAGUGGCGACGACGGCCGACAUGGGUGCUUCUGCUGCUGCGGCCACACGCGACAAGUGGUGGCAGAUAGCCUAACAAGCUGCUGCAUCGGGUGCGCGGCUCACGACCGGGAAGAUGAUGGGCGGCGGCGGCCGGUGCUCAGCCAGCAGCCGAAGAGGCCAGGGACGGUGGCCAACGCUGUUGCUGCUAGUGCUGCGGCGUCCACGCGUGAGUAGCUGUUGCGGCCACGGACCAAGAUCUAUUCAGCAAGCAUCAACUUUUUCGUGCUUGUUGUUUGAUUGAUCCAUUCAGCUGCAAGACUGCGACAUCUUUGUGUCGCGCACAUGUACCAAGAUCAGUAGCUGUUUGAUCCAUUCAGUUCCGGUUCAUGCGACUACUACUAAUGAUGAUGAUGAUGCUUUUUUACUAGUGUUAGUAGUAGCUUGAAGGAAAGAGCCUCCUGUUGAUGAAAGUAGAAUGAUGCUAGCAUCAAUUUUGAAGCAGCAGCAGCAGAUCUAGCAUCAAUUUUGGUCUCUCUUGAUGUAAAUAGAGUAUUCAGCUUCUCUUUGAUUGAAAUUGGAGACAACUACAAAUUUAACAUGAUAAAUCAUGGUUGUUAAAAAUAGUCUCACAAGAGGUGAAGAACCAAAUCCAUUGUCUAUUUCAUCUAUUUGUUCCCAAACCAACACAUACUUAGAUACAAACAUCGUGGUAUUUUGACCCAGGGAAAAAAGUUGGAAAAUAUACCCCGGUAAUUGUUGUGUAAAUAUCAUGGUAAUAUAAGCACAGAAGAAUUGGUAACUAACAUACAAAUAUCACGGUAAUUUUGGAUCCUAGGAAAUUGUUCUUGAAAACAUACCCCGGUAAAUUACGUAAAAAUAAUAUGGUAAUAUAUGAACAGCAUACCCGAAAUUACAUACAAACAAUGCGGUAACUUUGACUAAAGAAGGAAAAACAUUGUUGAAAAAGAUACCCGGUAACUUAUAUGAAAAUAGCAUGGUAAUAUACGAACCACCUAUCCAAUAACUUACUUAUAAACACCACGGUAACUUUAAUCAAGGAGGGAAAAUUAUUGAAAAACACCAAUUGAUAACUUAAGUGAAAAUAGCACGGUAAUAUACGAGCCACAUGCUCGAUAAGUUACUUAUAGAUAUCACGGUAACUUUGAUCAAAGGAGGAAACUGUUGAAAAACAUCCCCCGAUAAUUUAUGCGAAAAUAGCAUGGUGAUUAAACAAUCAUGUACUUGAUAAAUUACGUACAAAUACCAUGAUAACUUUGACCAAGGAGAAAGAAGUUUUUGGAAACAUAACCACCUCCCCUAAUAACUUGUGUGAUAAUAGCAUGGUAAUAUACGAAUUACAUACCUGAUAACUUAAGUACAAUCACUUCUAUAACUUUUGACCAAGGGGGAAAAUUUGCUGAAAAAUGUAACCCCGAUAACUUAUGUAUAAAUACCAUGUGAAUUACAUACUACAGGGGUGGUAACUUAUGUAGCCGAGGCAUGUUAACUUUUGACCCAGAAAAAGAAGUCGUCGGAACAUAUGUACCAAUAAGGGAUAUAGUUUCGAAGAUCUCGCGGAGACGAAUCUUUUAUGUGAAAACGGUUUUGCAUCAAAUCGAUAGUUUGAGCUAUAAAACAUUUUGAAUUUUGAGAAUAAGAAGAAUCAAGGAUGACAUCAGCUUUUUUGUGCUCUAGUAUACAUACAUAUGCAUGUGGAGAAGGUGUGAGAACAAUGUUUAUGCCUCCGGUAAUUUAUGUGAAAAUACCACGGUAACUUGCAUACUACAUGUGUGAUAACUUAUGUAGCCGAGGUGUGGUAACUUUUGAUCUGGAAAAAAAUUCGUCAAAACAUACCAACAUGGGAUCUAGUUUUGAAGAUCUCAUUGUGACGAGUCUUUUAUGUCAAAACGGUUUUUCCAUCAGACUGACGAUUUGAGCUACAAAACAUUUUGAAUUUUCGGAAUAAGGAGAAUCUAGGAUGAGAUCAGCUUUUUUGUCUUGUAGUGCAUGCAUGUAAUUAGAGUAAUGAGUGCACGUGAAAGAAAAAUGAUUCACUCUAAUGCAAUUACGCAUGUAAUUAAAGGAAAAGGAGGAGGUGUGUGGUAGUUUUAGCUAUGUGGCACACGUGUGCCAAAUAUCACGGUCCAUUUUUGUUUGUGGAGGCACAAUCUAUUGGAAUGUUCUAUGGCGAGAUGUGUAUGGGCCUUAGUGGACAAAGAGCUUCUGGAGCAUUUGAUGAGAACCUUGGAACCUUCGGCCAGAAAUUGGCUUAUUUAGUAUGAUGGAUGUGCUGAACCAUGAAGAAUUAACACGCCUAACAGUGACUUUGUGGGCUAUAUGGACUGCUAAAAGGAAGUUAAUUCAUGAAGGUAUUAACCAAAGUCCACUCUCAACUCAUCCUUUUGUGACCCAGUUCAUACCAGAGCUGGACCAGGUCAAUCACCCAAAUGUUGCACAUGUGAUGACAAGAGUACGAGAACCUGAAGGGCUACGGGCAUGGAUCGCGCACCACCUGAAUGCAUGGUAAAACAGAUGUUGAUGCCGGCGGUAUCGAUGGAUCGCAACAUUGGCGUUGCGGUAGUUUGCCGGAACUGAGAUGGGUCCUACAUUGGCUGGUCCGUGCUUGUGAUUACAGAAAGUUCCCGUUUAGCUCAGGCUACAAGGAACCUCUUAUCCUCAACACUCUUGUGAUUAGCGGCAUCCUUGACCUUGUGGCCGUUGAAUAUCACAUGCAAGGAAGUUUUGUAGCUCGUCGAAGACCUUGGAGUUCACCAUCUUCAUAUCGCCCCAUAUUGCAAAAGUGUUGUAAAUUAUAUUACAGAGGGUGCCGGAGGCAACUACGGGGGUGUCAUCAAAGAAAUUAAAGCAUGAGCGACUUCUUUUACUUCUUGUAAUUUUACUCAUGAACUUAGAAGCUUGAAUUUGAAGCUGAUAAAUUGGCCAGGUAUACCUUGUUAUUAGAUCAUGGAAGGCAUGUUUUGUUGGGGUCUCCUCAUGAUCCUACGAUCAUCCCUGUCAUCAUGAAUGAGUAAUAAAGCAUGUCCCAUUAUUCUAAAAAAUAUCACAGGGCCUGGCUCUGCCCUGGUCUCUCUACAAGAAAAAAAUAUCAGCGUUUUGCAUAAAAAACAUCAUGUAUUCUGAAGAAAAAAAAGCUUCACCAUCAGCACCGACCAUGUACUUCAACUAUGUGAAUCACCGGACAAUUACCAUCAAUGCCAUGUACAUUAAUCCUUUUUUGCAUUUGGAAAUGGUUGCAAACACGAUAAAAGGGGAUUUUAAAACAUGUUUGAGGUAUGACGUUCUUUUCCUAAAAUGAAGAUUCACAGAUUUAAAGGAAGAGAAAUGUGAAUCAUGUGAGAUCAUAAAAUAGUAUUUGUUUUGACAUGUUUGAGGUGCGAUAUUCUUUUCCUAAAAUGAAGAUUCAUAGAUUUAAAGGAAGAGAAAUGUGAAUCAUGUGAGGUCGUAAAAUAGUAUCUAUUUUGACAUGUUUGAGCUAUGACAUUCUUUCCCUAAAAUGAAGAUUCAUAUAUUUAAAGAAAGAGAAAAGACCCCUUAAAUUCUGCAUGCAGGCAUGACAGAGAUUUAUUCAGGACCAAUAUUUUUUUAACCUUUUUUUAGAUAAAUAUUUUGUUUACCUACUCCCUAACAAGUGUAGGUUAUCACAUUUUGGAACAUGUUUGAGCUGGACUGGACAUACUGGGCCAUGGCCCACCCUUCUCCCCAAGCAUUCUCUUAGGAUUUGAAUGGAGCUCUUGUUCGGCGCUUAAGGUGCCGCUAAUCGCUACUGGCGCUUGCAUCGCAUGCAUAGUGGGCCGGCCCAGGACAAAAAUAUCCUUCUCUUUGUAUUCGUACCGUAAAAAAGACGUGUAAUUCCUAGAAGGAGGGUUCGAACUCUGUCCGCUAAAGUCUAAAAAAGACGCUUAACUUUGUUGUAUAUUAUUAGGAAAAAAACACGAUUUGACCCUUCUUUUAGUACGACAUUAACAUGUAGGAGUAAUAUACACCCGGUUUAUUAUGAGUACUAUUUUAUGAUAAAAAUGAAAAAAUAAUUCACAAGAAAAAACAUGAACAUGAAGAAAGUUCAUAAACUUGAAAAGGUUCAUACAAAUUGGAAAAAGUUCGUGAAUUUGUGAAAAGUUCACGAAUUUGAGAACAUUUAAUCAUUUUUGAAAAACAAUUCAUUGAAUUUGAAUUUUUUUAUCAAUUUUGAAAAAAAGUUCAUCGAUUUUCAAAAAAAGUCCAUCAGUUUUGAAAAAGUUCAUCAAUUUAUAAAAGUAGAUCCAAUUAAAAAAAGUUCAUCAUUUUUUUAAAAAAAAUCAUCGAAUUGAAAAAUAUUCAUUGCAUUUGAAAAAAAAAGUUCAUCGAAUUUGGAAAAAAGUUUCAUCCAUUCUGAAAAAAGUUCAUCGGCUUAAAAAAACUUCAUCGAUCUCGAAGAAAAGUUUGUGAAUUUUUUUUAAAAAGUUCACGAAUUUGAAGAAAAAGUUCACACAUUUAGAAAAAAAACCAAACAUUCAAAGAAAAAGAAAAGGAAAAAAGUUGCCCGAAUUGAAGAGGAUAAAAGAGAGAAAAGAAGUGAGUUGGCACAGUCGGUCGAGAUGGCAUAGUGGUUACUUCUCUAUGCUCUGAACAAAGAGGUCUCUGGUUUGAACCUUGCAGCCGCACCCUUUUUUUUAGGGGUGCCGCACCCUUUUUUGUUGUUUAACAGAAAAGAAAGAAAAAGUUAAACGGCCUGGCCCAACUCGUAAGAAGGGGGGGUGUGUGUUUCAGAACAGGCAUCCGAAGCGCUAAAAAGGAUCUGCCAGAUUUGAUAUUGAUUUGUCCUGUUGGCAGCAAAUGGCCGGCUCAUGGCCCACUCUAUGUUAAACUGGCCCGUCCAUGUUUCAUGUCAAGCUCUGUCAGUGAUCUAUAGGUAUUCGCACACGAACACAUCACCGUGUACCCUCGAUGUCGGGGGUGAUGCACCGCAGCUCACGUUGAAGGAGACCCGCCGGAAGCGCGGUACGCAGGACAAUCCGAAGGGCGCUUUUGUAGACCGGAAACCCCACACGCCCGGGAGGGACCCCGUCAGGGCGCGCGGUGGCUAUGGGUUGCCCUAGGUCGACCUGAUCGCCCCUAGGGCCUCGUGGAUCGCCGCCCUGCAACUAGAAGAACGAACGAAGAACGAGGAAGAAGAAGAACAAGGGAGAGGGAUAAAGGUAAAGGUAAAAGAUGAUAGAUUGAUUGUUCGAUUAUGUGUUGUUCAAUUGGCCGUCACCCCUUAUAUAUAUAUGAGGCGGCUGGACUUCCCGUACAAGAAAAGGACUCAAAUCACGUCCAAAACAUCAAAUCAUAACCUAACUCGGACUACAAGGGUCGGAACUUCCGGUCAGCCCGGAACUUCCGGGAUAAAAUUACAUCAAGUUGCCCUUUUGCACAGCUCCUACAGGUUGCAUAUGACUUCGGAUCGUGAUGGUCCAAAAAGCAAAGUUGUAGAUCUUGCAAUGUAGAAAAAUUCCUUAGUUGAUCACUUUUUCCUCCGAGGUCAUCUUGAUGUCGAAACUGGCCCCGAAAAUCUGCAAAUGAUGUUAAAAUUCCAGUUUCUGGGGUGCACCGCGUGCAAACUUUCGGUUUAGCCCGGAACCUCCCCGGAAGUUUUGCCCGGAACUUCCGGGGCAGAUUUAUGCAGAACACUGUUUUGGCUCUAACGUUUGCAUACGAACUCUGAUUUAGACGUUUCUUAUAUCAAAAUUGAUCGUUUUGACGAGACGAAGACAAUAUAUGUAGAAACUUUUCUCAUAUGAGGCCAUCUUGGGGGCGUAAUCAGCCGAAUAGUGUUCUGAAUACAAAAUCUCAGUGCUUCAAACACAACUUCGGCCUUAGAGAUGCGAUCGGAUGGCUAUGGCCCAAAUAUCAAAGUUUCUCCUUUUGACGAUACGGAACUUUCUCACUUUGAGCACUUUUCCAUUUGAGGCCAUCUUAAUUAAUUUCUUGACCGUGCCAAAAUCUGGUGUCAACACAUGCCCCCUUGUUUUUCGGCAAAACUUGUGUGCCGAAAAAUAACUUGCACGAAGUUUGUUCUAAGCGCGAUGUCAACACUCCAUCGGCCAUUUUUUACGUGCUUUGGACGAUAAGUAUAUAUCGGCCAUUUAGAUUAGCAACAAAAGUGAAGCUAAUCGAGCAUAUAAUGAUUUGGUAAUACCCUUUCAUGAUGUAAGAAAUUAUAUUUUAUCCAUGGAUUAAAAUAAGCCCAUUGAGGGUAACCAACCAUACCUGAUGAAGAAUUCCAUGGCAUAGGCAUCAACGGCAUUGUUGAAGAAAAUGGAUAAUGUGUGGACCGAAGAUGUUGAAACCUUCGGCUUGGUCCUUCGUAGCUUUCACUCUUUUCCUUCUUCACCUUUGUCGCACUCCUUGUAAAGAAAGCUCGCACAUAAUUCUUAUUUUGAAUAUUUUCUUUGGGAACCCACUCCAUAUUUCUCUUUUCAAGUUCUUGUGCACUAAGCUUCUGCAACUCCUUCUUUUGCCAAUACGAUAAGCCGAGUGGGCAUCCCAGCUGCGAUUUUGUUUGAAGUAAUGGCGAUUCUUGUUUUACCUUGUUCACUCUCAACUUCUUUCCUUCAGAUUUGGCACUUGAUUGACUUGCCUCAUUGCCUUUUGUAGCCAAUGUCAACACUUUAAUUGGCUCUUUUUCAUUUGAGAUCAUAUCUGAAGUGGCACUCUUACGACCAUCUCUUUUGACGCGGUAGAUUUGCUCGACCACCUCCUUAUUCUUCCUUGUGCACCAGACCGAUUCUUUAUGAUUGAAACGGUCUUUGACGCGUGAUUGUUCAAAUAUUGAUCUCCAUGGAGCUGCAUAGUAUUGGUGAGAUGGUCUAGAAUAAGAUGGAGAAUGUGCCCUUGUAUCAUACCUGUCCCAUGAUGAAUAUGUAUCUAUAUGAGCAUAGGGAGGCAUCCACGGCAUUGGCAUUGGCGGCCCAAAAUAAGGAUAUGAAUAUGUUGCAUUAAAAUUAUCACUUUGCCAGUACCAAUCCUCAUAUUUGCGCCUUGGGGGUGAUCUUGGUUUCUUUGCAUGAUUUGGCUGAUAAGCAUUCUUAUCUUCACUCUUCUUUUGAUAUUUAUCCAAUAGUUCAGCGAAGGUGAUUUUUGAUCUCUUACACUUGCGCUUAUUUCGGCCUUUGUUUCCUUUGGUUGUGCUUGCACCAAUCAUUGGAUUUGCUUGUUGCCCCCCAGUCCUUGGCGUCUCCAUUGUAGCUUCGAUGGAAUUCUCGCCCUCAAAAUUAUGUUCAUUAUGCUCUUCAACAACUUUUUUACUUGAAAGCUUGACCUCAUCACCUGCAGUUUUACCUCCUGUUUAAAUGGAUCGGCUUGACGCAGCCGAUGCAAAAACUUUCUGCCAUCGAGACCAAUCGGAAUAGACUGGUCAUCUCUUGAUGUCUCAACAAAUUUCAGUCGUCCUUUAUGAAUGGCCGAUUUAACUAUUUGACGAAACAUAUUGCAAUCCUCAAAAUUAUGUUUGAACGAAUGAUGCAACCUACAAUACAUUCGUCCUUAAAUUGAUGGCUUGACAUGGUGAUCAAGAAUUCUUAUGUAAUUAUUUUUCAGCAAUAAAUUAAAUAUUUGGUCACACAUGCUUGAAUUGAAGGUAAACUUCUUGCUUUCUAGCCGAUCUUGCUGUGUGAACGGCUUUGAAGAUAAGCAAAUGAAUGGUUUAGAUUUAGAAUCUUCCCAUUCGGCUAUGCAUUGUGUUUUGCCCUCUAUCUCCGAUGUCUUUGGAUACAAUAUAAAAUUAACAUCGGAUUUCUCAAAAGAAUUUGACCUUGGCUUUAAAUUUCUGAAACAAAAAUAGUUAGAAUACACAUGUCUCAGUUGAGACCAAGUGCAAGCCAAGUAAGAAACAAACAAAGCUACCCAAUUAGAUAUGAAAUUUUGAUAAAGCAAUGGGGAAAACUUUGCCUGCAAUAAUAGGUCACUAUCGGUCUUUAUAAAUGGCACAAUAGAUUGACCGAUAUGUUCUAUAACAGUUUUAUUGCUAACAAGUAAAUUUCCCUUCGUCAUUGGUCUUUCAAAAUUACUUAUGAGAAUUUCUCUUAUAGAAGCAUCAACAAUAAAGUUGCGACCAAAUCGGAAGAUAGGUAAAUCACUUGCUAGACAUACCUUUUCAAACACGUUGGGAGAGCAUGAUGGUUGCGUUACCUGAAUGAUAGGUUGUUCCUCUUUCGAAUAGCUCCCCAACACCUUGUCAUCCUGUUUUUUCUAGAAUAGAUUCGGCAUGUGUAAUAUUUGAUUCGGUCUUUUCAAUAGCCGAAUUAACAUUGUUAUCCGAAUCACCAUCUUUUUUGAUAAUUCUAUCCACACCCAAUGCUUUCUCUUUUUGACAUAAUCUAGCUUGAAUUGCAGCAGAAUUAAUAGGCUUUCCCUCUUUUAUUAAUUCAUGUAGAACAACAUUGCAUUCAUCCCAAAAAGACGUAAGAUUUUUCUUAAUGACCCAAUCCGGAUAGAAUUGCCCCCCGACACUUUUAGACUCUUUUGGUAACGAGAUGUCACCAAAAUUCUGUAAUUUUGCAGGGGAAACAUUGUAUGCUACGAUACUAGGUGAAGACACAUGUGAUCCUAUAGAAUUUUCACUUAUUCGGCCAUUAGCAUGAAGGUGCGAAGCCGAAUUAUGAAUACCCAUAGUUGCAUAUGGUGCCAAACAAUUAGUAGCAUGAGGUGUAGCAUAUGAUGAUUGAGGGUAAUUGGCCGGAUAACUAGUAGUAGCAUGGCCAAUUCCCGCAUCCACCGGCAUGUUUUGAUUAACAUAUUGCAAGCUAGUUGCCGAUGAAUAAAAAGGUGAAGCAUUUUGUUGCAUACUAUCAAAAGUUCCUAUGUGAAGUGUUUCAACUUGAUUAACGGAACUCAUCAUGUUGUUCAUCGGCAUAUAGAUUUGUGGGGUUGCCGAUGCAUGGGAGUUGGGAUACAUAUGUUGCAUGUUGCUAAAAUUAUAUAAAGUUGAAGCAUGAAGAUUAUGUUGCAUUGGCUCUUGCACAUAAUUAGAUGCAUCAUUGAUAAAGCUAGGGCUAGCCGAUACAUUAUGCUCAUUAGAUGGUCUAGCAACAACAUAUGCAUUAUUUGCAUCUGCAUAUGUGAAUUGGGUAUUCAUAUUACCUUUGCAGAUUGCAAACCCUAGAUGACGAUCUAUUCGUAGCAAGAACGGGCCGGAGACCAUUCAAAGCUUCGUCCCCAACGGAGUCGCCAAAAAGUGUGUUCGCACACGAACACGUCACCGUGUACCCUUGAUGUCGGGGGUGAUGCACCGCAACUCACGUCGAAGGAGACCCGCCGGAAGCGCGGUACGCAUGACAAUUCGGCGGGCGCUUUUGUAGACCCGAAAUCCCACACGCCCGGGAGGGACCCCGUCAGGGCGCGCGGCGGCUAUGGGUUGCCCUAGGUCGACCUGAUCGCCCCUAGGGCCUCGUGGAUCGCUGCCCCGCAACUAGAAGAACGAACGAAGAACGAGGAAGAAGAAGAACAAGGGAGAGAGAUAAAGGUAAAGGUAAAAGAUGAUAGAUUGAUUGUUCGAUUGUGUGUUGUUCAAUCGGCCAUCACCCCUUACAUAUAUAUGAAGCGGCUGGACUUCCCGUACAAGAAAAGGACUCAAAUCACGUCCAAAACAUCAAAUCAUAACCUAACUCGGACUACAAGGGCCGGAACUUCCGGUCAGCCCGGAACUUCCGGGAUAAAAUUACAUCAAGUUGCCCUUUUGCACAGCUCCUACAGGUUGCAUAUGGCUUCGGAUCGUGAUGGUCCCAAAAGCAAAGUUGUAGAUCUUGCAAUGUAGAAAAAUUCCUUAGUUGAUCACUUUUUCAUCCGAGGUCAUCUUGAUGUCGAAACUGGCCCCGCAAAUCUGCAAAUAAUGUUAAAAUUCCAGUUUUCGGGGUGCACCGCGUGCAAACUUUUGGUUUAGCCCGGAACCUCCCCGGAAGUUUUGCCCGGAACUUCCGGGGCAGAUUUAUGCAGAACACUGUUUUGGCUUUAACUUUUGCAUACGAACUCCGAUUUAGACGUUUCUUAUAUCAAAAUCGAUCAUUUUGACGAUACGUAGACAAUAUGUGUAGAAACUUUUCUCAUAUGAGGCCAUCUUGGGGGCGUAAUCAGCCGAAUAGUGUUCUGAAUACAAAAUCUCAGUGCUUCAAACACAACUUCGGCCUUAGAGAUGCGAUCGGAUGGCUAUGACCCAAAUAUCAAAGUUUCUCCUUUUGACGAUACGAAACUUGCUCACUUUGAGCAUUUUUCCAUUUGAGGCCAUCUUAAUUAAGUUCUUGACCGUGGCAAAAUCUGGUGUCAACAAUAGGAUCUUGCAAUAACCGAUCAAUCCAUUGGCGAUCCCUAUUUGACGCCCGUGUGCGUCAGAAUGGCGUGGCUUCGCUGAAGCAUCGCCUCGCGACGCCAGCUUUUGGGCCGGCCCAUGGUUGUUUCGCAGUUGCAUCGCUGUUUUCUUCUCUUUUCUCUUUCUGUUUCUGUUUCUUUUUUUCUGUCCAUGUUUCUAUUUAUUUUCUUCUCCUUUUUCUUCUUCAUUUUUCCAUUUUAGUAUUUACUUUUUCUAUAUUAUAGAAAUUUCAUUGAGUGUUACGAAAAAUGUUCAUCAUACAUUAAGGAAGUGUUCACGUUUUAUUUUUACAAAAGUUCAUCAUGCAUUAUAAAAAUGUUCAUCGUAUGUUGGAAAUUGUUCAAUGAAUAUAUAAUCACUGUGUUUUUGAAUUUGUUAAGUGUAUAUUACACAAACGUUCAAUGUAUAUUAAAAUAUUGUUCAACUUAUAUUACGAAAUGUUCAAUGAGUUUCAUAAAUUGUUCAACGCAUAUAUUCAUAUAUUUUUCAAAAAUGUUCAUCGUAUAUCGAAAAAUCGUUCAUCUUAUUAUAAUAAAAAUGCAUCAUGUAUUAUUUUAAAUGUUCACCGUAUUUUAAGAAAAAUGUUCAUCGUAUAUUAAAAAAUGUUCAGUGCGUACUUUUCAAAAAAA
rnacentral:lncRNA from 1 species